GCUCAAAGUUGGAACCUGGCUGUCCUAGAUAGUCCGGAUUGUAAACUAAAGAGCGUGAAUCCAGGCAAGCCGGUUGAUCAAGUCCUUUGGAAUGAGGCGCCACUGAGGGUGAGAGCCCCGUAAAUCGACUGAGCAUUUGUCUUUUGUGUUUCGCGUUCAAAGAGUCAGGUUGUUUGGGAAUGCAGCCUAAAGCUGGUGGUAAAUCCCACCUAAAGCUAAAUACAGGCGAGAGACCGAUAGCGAACAAGUACCGUGAGGGAAAGAUGAAAAGUACUUUGAAAAGAGAGUUAAACAGUAUGUGAAAUUGCCAAGAGGGAAGCAUUUGGAGUUAGACUGACUUGGAGUUAAUCAGCUUGGUCUUUGGACUGGGUGUACUUGACUUCUAUGUCUGCCAAUAGCAGUUAGUCCUGGUGGAAAAAACUGAAGGGAAGGUAGUCCUUCGGGAUGUUUAUAGACCUUUGGAAAAUACACUGGGAUUGACUGAGGAAUGCAGUAGAUGCUAUUAAGGCUUCGUCUAGUAGGUGUUAGGUGAAGGUACUUGGUAUUUUCAGCUUGCUGAUGUGCUAGGUUACUUGAGCUUAAUUGCUUGCUAGAACUGU
rnacentral:rRNA from 1 species